UAUGGCUAUAAGUACUUACUGGUGUUUAUAGAUACCUUUUCAGGAUGGACUGAGGCUUUUCCAACCAAGCAUGAGACUGCACAGGUAGUGGCAAAGAAACUACUCGAAGAUAUUCUGCCCAGGUAUGGCUUUCCUGGUCUGGCUUCCAUACUUGGGGUUAAUUGGAAAUUACAUUGUGCAUAUAGACCCCAGAGUUCAGGACAGGUAGAAAGAAUGAACAGAACCUUAAAAGAGACCCUUGCUAAAUUGACCAUGGAGACUGGUGCUAACUGGGUGGCUCUGCUCCCCUACGCUCUGUAUCGAGUACGCAACACCCCAUAUAAGCUGGGGUUCACACCUUAUGAGAUCAUGUAUGGUAGGCCUCCUCCCAUCAUUCCUAAACUCAGAACUGACCUUACCCAGUCAGAUCAUGAUAACUCCUUUUUAUUCUCCCUCCAAGCUUUACAACGAGUCCAUAGACGUAUUUGGCCAAGACUAAGGGACUUACAUGCAACAGGACCUCCGUCUGUACCCCAUCAGUUCCACCCAGGAGAUUGGGUUCUUGUCAAGCGACACCGAGCCGAGACCCUCGAGCCUCGUUGGAAGGGACCUUUCCAGGUUAUCCUGACUACCCCUGCAGCCAUCAAGGUGGACAGCAUAGCAACCUGGAUACACCACACCCAUGCGAAGCCAGUCGACCCACUGUCAGAUCUCAUCAGAAAACCCAACCAGGACGUCAGUUGGACCGUGGACCACAAUGAAUUGCAGACAAUGGCACAAGUCAGGAACCCAAGAGUUGAGCUAAACUUCACCUUUCCCUUCAUCUCUGAAAUUUGGUAAGUACCAUGUAAAUCUAUGCUUUAUAAUUUGUGCAGAAGAAAAAUACUAUAGCACAAAGGAUGCACUGGGGAGAGAUUACUCUUAUGGAGUUCUUAUAUUUGGUGACAGGUGCCUGGGUGGCUCAGUUGAUUAAGUGUCCUACUCUUGAUUUUGCUCAGGUUAUGGGAUCAAAACCAGCUUUGGGCUCCACAUUCAGCCGGAAGUCUUCUUGAGAUUCUCUCUCUUGCUCCCCCGCCCCUCCUCCCAU